CCAGACUCCUACGGGAGGCAGCAGUGGGGGAUAUUGCACAAUGGGGGAAACCCUGAUGCAGCGACGCCGCGUGGGUGAAGAAGCGCCUCGGCGCGUAAAGCCCUGUCAGCAGGGAAGAAAAUGACGGUACCUGAAGAAGAAGCCCCGGCUAACUACGUGCCAGCAGCCGCGGUAAUACGUAGGGGGCAAGCGUUAUCCGGAUUUACUGGGUGUAAAGGGAGCGUAGACGGUGAAGAAAGUCUGGAGUGAAAGCCCGCGGCUUAACCGCGGAACUGCUUUGGAAACUGUGCAGCUGGAGUGCAGGAGAGGUAAGCGGAAUUCCUAGUGUAGCGGUGAAAUGCGUAGAUAUUAGGAGGAACACCAGUGGCGAAGGCGGCUUACUGGACUGUAACUGACGUUGAGGCUCGAAAGCGUGGGGAGCAAACAGGAUUAGAUACCCUGGUA
rnacentral:rRNA from 1 species